GGCGGUGGCAGAUAUCAAAAUUUCGAUGAAAUUUAAACAAACAAUAAGAGUGCAGAAGUUCCCACCAAUCCAAUCAACAAAAAAAUCCUUAAAAUCACAAUGCUUUGAGUGAAUAAGGGACCUUCUCCAGUCGAAGCAGCGAGAUUCCGGUGAAUCUUCAGCAACGAUGAAAUUUCAUUAAGGCUGCUCGCCGUCGAUAAACUCUGCUUUGGGUUUAGAAGGCGCCGUCAAUAAACCGACGCAGUGGCAAUCACAAUUCACAGGCAUGGUC
rnacentral:misc_RNA from 1 species